AAGAAAGGAAAGAGAAAGUCCAACCACUACGGCAAUACUUUUAAGCUCUACUAAAUGAUCGUAUCCUUUCUGGCUUCGAAACUUUUGUACCUAAAAAUCGAGAGAGGCGCUGCAUUUUUUCAGUUGAAACUGUCAAAACUUGGAGAAGGGGGACCUCGGAGGCAGGCAGGAGAGGAGGAGAAUCCUGAAAACUCGGUGGAGGUUGGGAAGAUGCUGUGCCUCGAGGAUUAGUUUAAACAGGGGGCUAUAAAAGAUGUAACAGAUGCAAACUGUAACACAAGGGCCAUUAACCCUUUCUCUGCCGGGCACACUCAGUCCCCACGCCCCACACCUAUUGUCUCCUGUGCUAGAAGCUUUGCAGAAAACCUGGAAAACUCACAUCCCCACUCAAAAUGAGAAAAUUAGAAAAGGAGGAUGGAGGACGAGCACACCAAAAAGGGAUAAAAAGAGAGAAAAGGGGAGGAAAAAAAACCUACCUGCGAAGUCUUGUUUGUAGUUUUGGCCAGAAAUGGUGAGAAGAAAAAGCAUGAAGAAGCCGCGAAGUGUGGGGGAGAAAAAGGUGGAAGCGAAGAAACAGCUCCCGGAGCAAACUGUACAAAAACCUCGCCAAGAGUGUCGGGAGGCAGGACCGUUAUUCCUGCAGAGCAGGUUAGAACUGAUCUCUUUCGGCCACUCCAGGAAACACAAACCUGGGGACGGACUGACGUGUUACGCCUCUUCUAAUGACAUUUUUUUCUUUUUCUUUUCUGUAGGAGAGAGACGAGAGACCCUGAAACACGCGCCACCUAUCUUUGUGGGGAGGGAUAAUUGAAGCGCCCUGAGCGUGAGCAUCAUGUGAAAACGUGAUCGCCAAGUUUCUCUCUGGGAAAGGAUCUGGGAUAGAUUAUACCUUGAAGUCUCCGCAA
rnacentral:ncRNA from 2 species